rnacentral:lncRNA from 1 species
UACAGUGCCAGCCAGUCCAAGGCGUCUAACUUACUUGAGGGACUGCAGUACUUGCAUACAUUGCUGACUAGGACUAUCAUUAGCAGGGGAGACAGUUGUGGUGUAGUGAUCCAGCCGGACCUAUUUAUACUUUACAGCAUGCACCAGCACCAAUCAGUCGACAUGGGAUACUUGUUGGCCAGACAGAUCAGUGCUUUCUGCAAUAACUCAAAGAAGGUAUUUUUCUGUUUUG